CGUCCAGACUCCUACGGGAGGCAGCAGUGGGGAAUAUUGCACAAUGGGGGAAACCCUGAUGCAGCAACGCCGCGUGAGUGAAGAAGUAUUUCGGUAUGUAAAGCUCUAUCAGCAGGGAAGAAAAUGACAGUACCUGACUAAGAAGCCCCGGCUAACUACGUGCCAGCAGCCGCGGUAAUACGUAGGGGGCAAGCGUUAUCCGGAUUUACUGGGUGUAAAGGGAGCGUAGACGGCAGUGCAAGUCUGGAGUGAAAGGCGGGGGCUCAACCCCCGGACUGCUCUGGAAACUGUACGGCUGGAGUGCAGGAGAGGUAAGUGGAAUUCCUAGUGUAGCGGUGAAAUGCGUAGAUAUUAGGAGGAGCACCAGUGGCGAAGGCGGCUUACUGGACUGUAACUGACGUUGAGGCUCGAAAGCGUGGGGAGCAAACAGGAUUAGAUACCCGAGUAAAG
rnacentral:rRNA from 1 species